GACGAACGCUGGCGGCGUGCUUAACACAUGCAAGUCGAGCGGAAAGGCCCUUCGGGGUACUCGAGCGGCGAACGGGUGAGUAACACGUGGGCAACCUGCCCCUAGCUCUGGGAUAACUCCGGGAAACCGGGGCUAAUACCGGAUACGACCUCAGGAGGCAUCUCCUGUGGUGGAAAGUUUUUCGCUAGGGAUGGGCCCGCGGCCUAUCAGCUUGUUGGUGGGGUAACGGCCUACCAAGGCGACGACGGGUAGCCGGCCUGAGAGGGCGACCGGCCACACUGGGACUGAGACACGGCCCAGACUCCUACGGGGAGGCAGCAGGUGGGGAAUAUUGCGCAAUGGGGCGAAAGCCUGACGCAGCGACGCCGCGUGAGGGAUGA
rnacentral:rRNA from 1 species